AGAAAUGUCACAGUUUGUGGGAAUACACUGGAGAUAGGGCCUAGCCAGGUGGAGAUAGCUUGGAGCCCGCGAAAACAAGGUAAGCGGUGUCUGGGUCCAGUUAGCGAGACCGGCGUUCACGUCUGCGGGGCUAUCAGGGCCUCGAGGAGACAGCGCUCCGUGCCACUGCUUAGUGCUUGGCCUUUCGUAGGGAUGGACUUGCUUGAGAGUCUUCCAAGAGAUUUUUAAGUGAUCUGGACUGGGAGCUCCAUUGGCGAUGUUUGGAUCUGGUUUUGAUUUUGAAAGCCCAGGAAGAUUCGCAGACUUUCGAGGCCGCACACUCUUCGGGCUGCCCGGAAUCUGGGCAGCGAUGAGGACUGAGAAGCUGUCUCAAGACCUGAGUCUCUUCUCAGGCGAUCCCAGAUAAGAGGAAGGAGAGAGAGGUUUUCUGACUUCCAACUCAUUAGGGACCAGAUUUAUUCCCCAGCACAGCAAGAAGAUGCGCCUGUGACCCUUUUCAAACUUACUCUCCACUCGGCUUAUGGAGACCAUCAGCUGCAGGACAAAUAUUUUAGUUUGGAUAUGCAUGUCACAAUUAAUAAUAAAAAGAUACAGGACCAAAGCAGACUGAAUGGCUCCAAUUAUCAGAAUGUGAAAGCAUGAGUCGGAAUCUACUUUUUGUACGUCUACUCUGAGGAGUCUCUUCUUUAGCCAAGCAGUACUGGGCCAUGAGAACAUAUCCACAAAGUUGAAGUCAGCUCUGUGAGCCGUGGAGUUCUCCCCAGCUCUGUGAAGCCCUGUGAAGCAGAGUUUUCGGAAGUGAUGAUUAUUUUGAGUCAAAAAUGAUCACCGGACACCACGUAACGUAUACACCAAAGGAACUCAAGAAAUAAUAGCCGCUGCGGGAGCGCUCUAGGCUCCGCUGCCCCUCGGCAUUCAGCCUCCUGUGUGAUUAACCCAGAGGUUGGCCUGACAUUGACCCAGUCCCCAGAUGGAAGAGUCACCUUAUCCUUGAAGCUGUCACUCUUUAUUCGGCACUUUUAUCUUUAUCAGUGCUGUUUUCAUCUUGAAAUAUAAACGCAGGAACGCCUCAAUCUGCAUCUCAACCUAGCCCCAGGCUGAAGGGUUCCGCCAGUGUUAUCAAACACUAAGGCUUGUGCCGUGGACAAUUCAGUCAAUGGUGGCUCACAGAUAUGGCGGUAGUCCCACAGAUUACCAUGAGUUGGAAAGUUCCUACAACCCAGUGAUGUCUUAGCCACCAUAGCAUAAUAACUCCCAUGCUUGUCGUUACGUUGGUGCAGACAGACCUAUGCCAGCUUCGGAGAAUCACUGGAUCAGUCCACGUCAACCUGAACCUGAAAGCCAAAUAUCUUUCCCUCCUUUGUUAGGUUCAUGUUACCCUGAACCUGUGAGCUCAGUAGAAAUUUUCUGGUUAUCUGGAGCCGGCAGUUAUUCAUUAUAGCUCCCCACCACUGACUGACUGAGGGUUAAUUAUCAUCAAACAUCUAUCUGCCCACGAUGCUAAUUAUUCAUACUUCAUGAUUGAGGAUUUGGAGUCGGAGACUCACCUGCAAUAUUUGGAAUACCAGUGGAGAUCCAUAUCAACAUGGAAUUUAUACAGUAGCUGGUGCCAGUCACAGCUAAUGAUGGAACUUCAGUUUAAUAAAAAGACCCCCAACUGAGUAUAACCAUCUCGAAGAAAGUAUACUUAUCAAACAGCUUUCAAUCAGUUCAAGAGAGACACCUUAAUUGUGAAGAGGAAGAACUGCACAGCGGUUGUCACCAUGCCAACUUCAGAUCGAUGGCAUUGCCACUGCUCUUGGUACAUAUAGCCUUGUCUAUGUCCUUAACUGCAUCAACAUCCUUCCUGUUGGGAUGAGAUCUUUGUUUCAGCUGCUAGCGUGUGAUGAGGCUUUUAAUUCGUUACACUAUAAUACCCCUUCGUAAAAUUUAAAUGUGUAAUUAUAAAGGUCAAUGUCUUUUCCUUUAAUUAAAACUUCUAUUCCUUGUUAACAGAAAUUAGUGCUUAUGACAUUUUGUAUUUUCAAAAAUUAUUGUGUUGAAAUAAAGCUACACAAACAAAAUAAAAUAUGGCGAUUCCACUCUAAGAAGAGAUGACUGAAUAAAUGAUAAUCUGACUUCUGUGCAAUUAUGUGCAAGAAGAAUGCAUACAAUAAUCCAUCAAAGGGAAACAAAGAGAAGGAAGGUUUACUCUGGCAGGAAGAAAUUACAAUUCUAAAGGAGAAUAUGAUGGAAAAUCCUUUCUUUUAGGAGGAGGGAGUCAUCUAGCUUAUUUAAAGACCUCUGGUUUCAGUGAUGCAGUAAGGAGCACCAGGGGCGGCGACACAGGUGAGAGAGGAAGGGGAAUGUGCAAAGAAACAGGCCAAGAGGCUAAGGCUCCAGAGGGUGCCUGCUGUGGUGCUCUUUGCUCCUUUCCAGUCUGCCUCCUUUUUCUCUCUCUCCUCUCUUGCUGUCUGUAUUUGUUUAUAUAGAUAGAGACUUAGGAACAGAAAUACUGCACAGAAAAGAUGCACUUAUUUCUUAUUUUAUGAAUAUGGGUGUCUUGCCUGCCUGGGCACCACAUGUGUGUAGCAUCCUUGGAGGUCAGAAUAAGGUUUUAAAUUCCCUGGAGCUGGAGUUACAGAUGGUUGUUAGCCACCAUGUGGGCACUGGGAAGUGAGCCCUGGUCCUCUGGAAAAGUAGCCAGUGUUCUUGAUCCCUGAGCCGUUUCCUCCAGCACACACAAACUCACCUUUAGGCAUAGAAUCUCAUACUCUGAAGCAUGUGGGAUAUUUGAUCUCGUUUCCCUCACUUUAUAUAUUCAUUCGUUAAAACGAUACAUUUUUGUUAGGUUUGGGUGUGUGUCUGAUGCUAUGUGUUAGGUUUACAGUGUGUUAUUUCUAGCUAUCUACCGAUUAUACUUUAGUGUGAGAGACAGAAACUGGUCUAGUAAUCACAUCACUGCAAAUCACAGCAUUCUUGAAAGUGCUGGUAGGCAAAAUAAGAGAGCUCUCUGAAGUCCAGUGUUGGAGAAUAUAUGGGAACAUGGCUGGAAAGAGUAGAAAUUACUAAUGUCAUUGGCUAUGCUCUGCAGGGCAGAUGCUGGGCUCAGUCAAGUGUUCUCUUAGUACUCACAGCUAGACUGAGGAAGCCAAAGGACCUAUGAGCUCCUGUCCUUCCUUGCAAUAUGGUUGGCUGGUGACUGACAAAGAUUUGCAGGAAAGCAGCACUCAAGUAGCCCCAGUAGGACCAAUCAGUCAUGCCGCAGUAGGGUUUGGCAGCGUCUUCACAGAUAUUCGGUUGUGAAAGGGCCAGUCCCGAAUGCACAUUCAUUUCCAUUACAACCAUCUACCAGACUUAUCUCUCAUUAUAGAAGCAACCCCAGAUUGAACUAUCACUAUUGAAAUUAUUAGUUUCUAUAGCUCUAAUCAAGCCAUCCUCCUUUUCAGGGACUCAACCAAAGGGCACAGAAGAACAGUGUCACUGAGGUCACCUUCUCUAUAAAGACCUUGAAGAGUAGGGUAGAGGGGGUCUGACUGGCUAGAGGUUCAUAUACUUCACUUAGAAUAUCCAACAAGUACAUGGCAAGUUAGCAUCUCUCACCAACGCUGGGAAGCUUUGCCAACAUUGAUGCCUCCCUCUGGGAAGCACCCGCCAUCAGGCAAGCUCACGUCCUCAGCAGCAUCUGGUGGGAUGAGCCAUGCUGUCCUUAUAAUCCAAAGAAAGCUGAAGUCAUAGUCAACAUUAGUUUGGAGUGAUUUCCUUUCUUUUCUUUUUUGGUAAACAGGUUUGCAUUUUCAUUAUGUUUAUGAUUUAUUCACAUGCACGCACAAUAUAUACAUAUUUUCAUUGAUGUGGGUUUAUUUGUAUAGCCUAUUUUUCUUCCUCCUUUUUCUGUCUCCUCCCACUUAUCUCCUAUCCUGCAUCUUCUACUCCUAUUAGCAUCUGUGCAUCGAUUUAGUACUUGUCUGUGAGAAUACUCAAUCCAUCUGCAUAUAGUUCUGGAUGUGUAUUAACAAUACACAUAUAUAGUCCUAUGCAGAAGUUUUUGUAGAGUAUUGGUUUUGACAAACAUGAUUAUUUAAAUAUACUCUUUUCCCAUUUUUUUGUUUUGUUUUCACUACUAAAUACUUUAGAAUAAUGAGUUACCUCCUCAAGGUAACUGUUAUAAUGCUACUUUAUUUUGUAAUUUUUCCAUGAUGUAUAACCAUGACUUAGUUUUCAGUUUCCUGGAAUAUUAAACAAUGCCAUAGCUG
rnacentral:lncRNA from 1 species